CUCAGAUAAUCCGCCCAUCUCGGCAUCCCAAAGUGCUGGGAUUCCAGGCAUGGGCCACCGCGCCUGGCCUGAAGCAGGUCUCCAAGGCACCUCUCUCUCUGCCCUGUGAGCUUACACUCACAGCCAUCACAUUAGACUGGACACAGGUGGGCUUCAAGGCACGGUAGCCACUCCAUGAACCUGGGAGGAGGCAUUUACAGCAGGUGGGCUGCCCGGAAGCUGGAGGCUGAGCCCUCCGCUGCCCUGCAUCUGUUGUAGGAAAAAGCCUCGUGAGCUGGGAGCUGAUCUGGGAACGUGUGGUCUGAACUCCUGCUGCCCAGGCUUGGGGGCGGAGGGGGGGUUCCCUGUUCCCCAGGCUCAGCGUGCCAGCCCCCCCGCUGCAGUGGGGCUGGUGACAGAUGCAUUCCGAGAACAAGCAGACACCUCUGUGCUCACCCACUUUAAUUAGGUGAAGGAGUCAGGUGAUCCCAUUAGGAUCACCUGGAAAUACCACGCCGGGCCUGUGCUCCACCCACACAUGCUCCAAAUCGCCGCCUGCCUGCUGCAACUACUGUUUGGUGAAGCCCAGGAUGUCGGUUUGCCCUGUUCUGACUCGUUCAUGUUGAUUACUCAAUUAACAGUCCUGCCAGUUUUCUCCAAUGUAAAGUUAGUAUCUUUUCUUGGUAAUUGACAAGUAAUAUACAGGGAGAUGUUUUGAGAUCAUGUAAAUAUCCUGUUUCUCACUAAACUUCCAUCCUCUAAUUUUUGCUUCCAUGAAUGAAUCUCCACUGGAAAAAAAGUAUUCUUAGGAUGGUUGCACAUUGUUACUGCAUUCUUGAGAAGCCUAAAAGCAAGCGUGUAUCAAAGGACCUUUGACGUCCUGGCUUUAUUUCAAGGGGGAUAUCUCAAGGCAACAGGAAGAAAUGUGAAGAAAGAUUUAGAUGCAAAGAUUUUAAUUGCAACAGUACUUAUAAGAGCAAAACUUAGAAAUAACCUAAGUUAAGCAAUACAGUAAAGGAACAUCAAGAAAUACGAAGCAACCUGUAAAACAAUGUUUUUGAAGAGAUCUCCACCACAUAAUGCUUAGUAAUAUGCUAAGUAAUGUAAUAUUUGGCUAAAUGCAAUGUGAGAUGCUGGAUUGGAUGGUGGAACAGAGAAAGGGCAUCAGUGGAAAAGCUGAUGAAAUUCAAGUACAGCCCAUAGUUCAGUUAAUAGUAAUGUGCCGAUAUUAAUUUCUCAGGUUUUAUUUAAUGAAUGUAUCAUAGGCAUGUAAGAUAUUCAUAUUGGGAGGACUGAGUGAGAGACAAAGGAGAAUGGUCUCUACUGUCUUUGCAACUUUUCUGUAAACUUGGAUUAUUCCUAAAUAAAAAUGCCAUUAAAAACUUAACCUGGAAG